rnacentral:rRNA from 1 species
AUGAAUUCGGCAAUUCUAAUUUAUAACUGUUUAUCAAAAACAUUUCUUUUAGAAUUUUAUUAAAGGUAAUUUCUGCUCAGUGAUUUAUAUUAAAUAGCUGCAGUAUAUUGACUGUACAAAGGUAGCAUAAUAAUUAGUUUCUUAAUUGGUAACUGGAAUGAAUGAAUUAAUAAUAUAUUGACUUUAUAAAUUUUAAAUUUAGAAUUUUAUUUUUAGGUAAAAAAGCUUAAUUUUUUUAUAGGGACGAGAAGACCCUAUAGAACUUUAUUUUAAUUAGUUUUAAAUUAUUAUUUAGUUAAUUUUUUUUUUAUUUUUAGUUAAUUUUUUGUUGGGGUGACAGUUAAAUUUAAACUUUAAUUAUUUUUUUCAUUAUAUUUAUGAUUCAUUAGAUCCAUUUAAAUGACUACAAGUUUUAGUUACCUUAGGGAUAACAGCGUAAUUUUUAUGGGGAGUUCAUAUUUAUAUAAAAGUUUGCGACCUCGAUGUUGAAUUAAGGAUUUUAUGAGGGGCAGGUUUUUCAUAUUUUAGUCUGUUCGACUAUUUAAAUCUUACAUGAUUUGAGUUCAAACCGGUGUGAGCCAGGUUGGUUUCUAUCUUAUAAUUUUUAUAUCUUUUUAGUACGAAAGGACCUUAAGGU